CAAAGAGAUAAAAAAUGUAAAAAGAAAUAGAUAAGAUUCCUUUGUACAGUAAAUAACUUUUGCUUUUUUGAAAGGGCAAUGUGUAUAGCCGGCCAUUUGUAAAGUUUUGUUCAAAAGUCAUAAGGUGUACAGUAGACGCACUUAUGUGCAGACUUAGGAUUUAGUAUAUAUAGAUUGCCAAAUUGUAAAUGAAAGGCAGGCAAUGCCAAACUAAAGUUCAAGUUAAUAAACCCUCUCUCAAAAUACAAAGCUCUCUCAAAUAUACAAACUAAGAAAAACAUAUGAAAAAAUUGGAAAUACAAUCAGGUAUCUCAGCUAGCAUGACAAAUCAAGAGUUAAAGUAUGUAAAAGCUAUUUACAAAGGACCAAAAAGACUAACAAGAUUUUGCUAAAGCCUGAAGAAUAAUCUUGAGUAAAAGAAAAAGGGAACUUUUGGAAGAAAUUGAGUCAAACCACAAAAGGUGAUUAAGAUGAUUGAGGAAGCAUAACGAACCUAGCUACCUAUGGACAGGUGAAGCUACGAUCUCUAGAAAGGCUUUAGUAGUUUGGGAGAAGAUAUGCUUUCGAAAAGGUGUUGGAGCUCUGGAUUUCAUUAAUUCUCGUUUACUACGUAAAAGACCUAGAUAUAUGAUCACAAUGGAGGUGGCCAAGCUUCGUGGAUAGUAACAGAGAUAUUCAAUAUGAAAAAUAUUGGACAAUGCUUAUAAAUCGUCAUCAAUUGAUAAGAAGUGACAUGUUUAUGAUAAAAAAAUAUACACAAUGUUAUGAAGGCAACUUAUACAUGUCCCCUGGAGAGGUAUGGUACGUCACAAUUAAUGUGGCAUGCCCCACACAAACUUUCAUCCUAUGGAUAGCACUAUUAGGAAGAACGAGGACCAAAGAAUUGCUUUUAAAAUGGAACAUGACAGUGAAUAUCAAAUGUGUAUUUGUUAAUCAUAGUGAAACAUUGUAAUUCGUUAUACCACAUGUUCUUUGACUGUAA